UAUAUGUUAAAAUUUUCAUCCACAUAGACACGAAAUUAUGUGAUCAAAGCCAAAUGAUAGUGCAGUGGAUAUGCAAGCACAUCAAGGACCAAGUUUCCAAGGAAAAAUAACUCUAACUCCACUAUUUGGUUUGAGUGAAAAGGUGAUUUUUAAAUGGAAUCUCACUCAAGUCAAUUGUUAUCCAAUUUUGGGUAGACAAUUUAACUGAGCCAGUUCCAGAUCAAUAGAGAGACACACCACAGGCACCCCAUUUUAAUAAA
rnacentral:misc_RNA from 1 species